CUACGGGCCGCUGCAGUGGGGAAUAUUGCACAAUGGAGGAAACUCUGAUGCAGCAACGCCGCGUGGAGGAUGACACUUUUCGGAGCGUAAACUCCUUUUAUAUAGGAAGAGAAUGACGGUACUAUAUGAAUAAGCACCGGCUAACUCCGUGCCAGCAGCCGCGGUAAUACGGAGGGUGCAAGCGUUACUCGGAAUCACUGGGCGUAAAGAGCGUGUAGGCGGGUUAAUAAGUCAGAAGUGAAAUCCUAUGGCUCAACCAUAGAACUGCUUUUGAAACUGUUAACCUAGAGUGUGGGAGAGGUAGAUGGAAUUUCUGGUGUAGGGGUAAUAUCCGUAGAGAUCAGAAGGAAUACCGAUUGCGAAGGCGAUCUACUGGAACAUAACUGACGCUGAGACGCGAAAGCGUGGGGAGCAAACAGGAUUAGAUACCCCCGUAGUC
rnacentral:rRNA from 1 species